UGGGGUAUAUUGCACAAUGGGCGCAAGCCUGAUGCAGCGACGCCGCGUGGGGGAUGACGGCCUUCGGGUUGUAAACCUCUUUCCGUGUCGACGAAGCUGCGGUUUUUGCUGGGGUGACGGUAGGCACAGCAGAAGCCCCGGCCAACUACGUGCCAGCAGCCGCGGUAAUACGUAGGGUGCGAGCGUUGUCCGGAAUUACUGGGCGUAAAGAGCUCGUAGGUGGUUUGUCGCGUUGUUCGUGAAAACCGGGGGCUUAACUCUCGGCGUGCGGGCGAUGCGGGCAGACUGGAGUACUCCAGGGGGGACUGGAAUUCCGGGUGUAGCGGUGGAAUGCGCAGAUAUCAGGAGGAACGCCGGUGGCGAAUGCGGGUCUCUGGGCAGUAACUGAAGCUGAGGAGCGAAAGCGUGGGGAGCUAACAGG
rnacentral:rRNA from 1 species